rnacentral:misc_RNA from 1 species
GCCGUCUCAACCCCUACCCUACAAUCAACCUUCUCAUCUGUACCAUUUUCCUUCCCGGAGGAUAAUGAACCAGCACACAAUCCUCCUUGUUCUCCCACUUGAGUGGCUGAAUCGUCAUCUGUGUUCUGAUUUUUAACAAGUUCGUCCUCAUCGUGAAACCCCAGUCCUCUAUGUGAACUGUCACCUAACACAAAACUAGUACCGUAAUCAUAAGUAAAUU